AACUUUCCAAUGGGGUAUGAUGUCGCGGUUGCUUAAGUGAACCGUGGCUGCGAAAGCGAGUGCCAAGUGGGCCAUUUUUGGUAAGCAGAACUGGCGAUGUGGGAUGAACCAAACGUUGGGAUAAGGUGCCUAACUCUCCGCUCAUGAGACCCCAUAAAGGGUGUUGAUUGAUAUAGACAGCAGGACGGUGGCCAUGGAGUGUGUAACAACUCACCUGCCGAAUCAAUCAGCCCCGAAAAUGGAUGGCGCUUGAGCGGGGGACCUAAGCCCAACCGUUGUUGGCUUGUACGUUUCGUGCGUCUGGCCUCAACGAGUAGGUGUGUCGCGGCGGUUAGCGUCGAAGGCUUAGGGCGUAGGCCCAGCUGGAGCUUCCGUCGGUGCAGAUCUUGGUGGUAGUAGCAAAUAAUCAAGUGAGAAUCUUGAUGACUGAAAUGAAGAAGGGUGUUGAGUUGCUCUCUGGUAGGUCGAUGAUACUUGU
rnacentral:ncRNA from 1 species